GCAGCUAUAGCUCAGUGGUAGAGCAACCGAGAGAUCGGUGGUCAUGGGUUCGACUCCCAUUAGCUGCU
rnacentral:tRNA from 1 species